rnacentral:rRNA from 1 species
AUUGAACGCUAGCGGGAUGCUUUACACAUGCAAGUCGAACGAGUGGCGGACGGGUGAGUAAUAUAUCUGACCGUGCCCAGUAUCGGGGGUUAACUACUCGAAAGAGUGGCUAAUCCCGCAUUCUAUUGGAGGAGCCGAUAUCGGAUUAGCUAGGUGGUGGGGUAAAGGCUCACCAAGGCAACGAUCCGUAGCUGGUUUGAGAGGAUGACCAGCCAAACGGGGACUGAGACACGGCCCAGACUCCUACGGGAGGCAGCAGUGGGGAAUUUUGGACAAUGGGGGAAACCCUGAUCCAGCCAUCCCGCGUGUAUGAGAAGGCCUUCGGGUUGUAAAGUACUUUUGGCAGAGAAGCGGUAUCUGCAGAAGAAGCACCGGCUAACUACGUGCCAGCCGCCGCGGUAAUAC